rnacentral:rRNA from 3 species
AGACCCGAAACCCGGUGAUCUAGCCAUGGGCAGGUUGAAGGUUGGGUAACACUAACUGGAGGACCGAACCGACUAAUGUUGAAAAAUUAGCGGAUGACCUGUGGCUGGGGGUGAAAGGCCAAUCAAACCGGGAGAUAGCUGGUUCUCCCCGAAAGCUAUUUAGGUAGCGCCUCGUGAAUUCAUCUCCGGGGGUAGAGCACUGUUUCGGCUAGGGGGCCAUCCCGGCUUACCAACCCGAUGCAAACUGCGAAUACCGGAGAAUGUUAUCACGGGAGACACACGGCGGGUGCUAACGUCCGUCGUGAAGAGGGAAACAACCCAGACCGCCAGCUAAGGUCCCAAAGUCAUGGUUAAGUGGGAAACGAUGUGGGAAGGCCCAGACAGCCAGGAUGUUGGCUUAGAAGCAGCCAUCAUUUAAAGAAAGCGUAAUAGCUCACUGGUCGAGUCGGCCUGCGCGGAAGAUGUAACGGGGCUAAACCAUGCACCGAAGCUGCGGCAGCGACGCUGAUGCGUUGUUGGGUAGGGGAGCGUUCUGUAAGCCUGUGAAGGUGGCCUGUGAGGGUUGCUGGAGGUAUCAGAAGUGCGAAUGCUGACAUAAGUAACGAUAAAGCGGGUGAAAAGCCCGCUCGCCGGAAGACCAAGGGUUCCUGUCCAACGUUAAUCGGGGCAGGGUGAGUCGACCCCUAAGGCGAGGCCGAAAGGCGUAGUCGAUGGGAAACGGGUUAAUAUUCCCGUACUUGGUGUUACUGCGAAGGGGGGACGGAGAAGGCUAUGUUGGCCGGGCGACGGUUGUCCCGGUUUAAGCGUGUAGGUGUGUGUUCCAGGUAAAUCCGGUUCACUUUAACACUGAGGCGUGACGACGAGGCACUACGGUGCUGAAGCAACAAAUGCCCUGCUUCCAGGAAAAGCCUCUAAGCAUCAGGUAACAUCAAAUCGUACCCCAAACCGACACAGGUGGUCAGGUAGAGAAUACCAAGGCGCUUGAGAGAACUCGGGUGAAGGAACUAGGCAAAAUGGUGCCGUAACUUCGGGAGAAGGCACGCUGACACGUAGGUGAAGUGAUUUACUCAUGGAGCUGAAGUCAGUCGAAGAUACCAGCUGGCUGCAACUGUUUAUUAAAAACACAGCACUGUGCAAACACGAAAGUGGACGUAUACGGUGUGACGCCUGCCCGGUGCCGGAAGGUUAAUUGAUGGGGUCAGCGCAAGCGAAGCUCCUGAUCGAAGCCCCGGUAAACGGCGGCCGUAACUAUAACGGUCCUAAGGUAGCGAAAUUCCUUGUCGGGUAAGUUCCGACCUGCACGAAUGGCGUAAUGAUGGCCAGGCUGUCUCCACCCGAGACUCAGUGAAAUUGAACUCGCUGUGAAGAUGCAGUGUACCCGCGGCAAGACGGAAAGACCCCGUGAACCUUUACUAUAGCUUGACACUGAACAUUGAGCCUUGAUGUGUAGGAUAGGUGGGAGGCUUUGAAGUGUGGACGCCAGUCUGCAUGGAGCCGACCUUGAAAUACCACCCUUUAAUGUUUGAUGUUCUAACGUGGACCCGUUACCCGGGUUGCGGACAGUGUCUGGUGGGUAGUUUGACUGGGGCGGUCUCCUCCUAAAGAGUAACGGAGGAGCACGAAGGUUGGCUAAUCCUGGUCGGACAUCAGGAGGUUAGUGCAAUGGCAUAAGCCAGCUUGACUGCGAGCGUGACGGCGCGAGCAGGUGCGAAAGCAGGUCAUAGUGAUCCGGUGGUUCUGAAUGGAAGGGCCAUCGCUCAACGGAUAAAAGGUACUCCGGGGAUAACAGGCUGAUACCGCCCAAGAGUUCAUAUCGACGGCGGUGUUUGGCACCUCGAUGUCGGCUCAUCACAUCCUGGGGCUGAAGUAGGUCCCAAGGGUAUGGCUGUUCGCCAUUUAAAGUGGUACGCGAGCUGGGUUUAGAACGUCGUGAGACAGUUCGGUCCCUAUCUGCCGUGGGCGCUGGAGAACUGAGGGGGGCUGCUCCUAGUACGAGAGGACCGGAGUGGACGCAUCACUGGUGUUCGGGUUGUCAUGCCAAUGGCACUGCCCGGUAGCUAAAUGCGGAAGAGAUAAGUGCUGAAAGCAUCUAAGCACGAAACUUGCCCCGA